rnacentral:tRNA from 1 species
GCCGGAGUGGUGGAAUUGGUAGACACGCCAGGUUUAGGUCCUGGUGGGCGCAAGUCCGUGUAGGUUCAAGUCCUAUCUCCGGUACCA